GCAAGUCGAACGAUGAAGCCCAGCUUGCUGGGUGGAUUAGUGGCGAACGGGUGAGUAACACGUGAGUAACCUGCCCUUGACUCUGGGAUAAGCGUUGGAAACGACGUCUAAUACCGGAUACGAGCUUCCACCGCAUGGUGAGUUGCUGGAAAGAAUUUUGGUCAAGGAUGGACUCGCGGCCUAUCAGCUUGUUGGUGAGGUAACGGCUCACCAAGGCGACGACGGGUAGCCGGCCUGAGAGGGUGACCGGCCACACUGGGACUGAGACACGGCCCAGACUCCUACGGGAGGCAGCAGUGGGGAAUAUUGCACAAUGGGCGAAAGCCUGAUGCAGCAACGCCGCGUGAGGGACGACGGCCUUCGGGUUGUAAACCUCUUUUAGCAGGGAAGAAGCGAAAGUGACGGUACCUGCAGAAAAAGCACCGGCUAACUACGUGCCAGCAGCCGCGGUAAUACGUAGGGUGCAAGCGUUGUCCGGAAUUAUUGGGCGUAAAGAGCUCGUAGGCGGUUUGUCGCGUCUGCUGUGAAAUCCCGAGGCUCAACCUCGGGUCUGCAGUGGGUACGGGCAGACUAGAGUGCGGUAGGGGAGAUUGGAAUUCCUGGUGUAGCGGUGGAAUGCGCAGAUAUCAGGAGGAACACCGAUGGCGAAGGCAGAUCUCUGGGCCGCUACUGACGCUGAGGAGCGAAAGGGUGGGGAGCAAACAGGCUUAGAUACCCUGGUAGUCCACCCCGUAAACGUUGGGCGCUAGAUGUGGGGACCAUUCCACGGUUUCCGUGUCGUAGCUAACGCAUUAAGCGCCCCGCCUGGGGAGUACGGCCGCAAGGCUAAAACUCAAAGGAAUUGACGGGGGCCCGCACAAGCGGCGGAGCAUGCGGAUUAAUUCGAUGCAACGCGAAGAACCUUACCAAGGCUUGACAUAUACGAGAACGGGCCAGAAAUGGUCAACUCUUUGGACACUCGUAAACAGGUGGUGCAUGGUUGUCGUCAGCUCGUGUCGUGAGAUGUUGGGUUAAGUCCCGCAACGAGCGCAACCCUCGUUCUAUGUUGCCAGCACGUCAUGGUGGGAACUCAUGGGAUACUGCCGGGGUCAACUCGGAGGAAGGUGGGGACGACGUCAAAUCAUCAUGCCCCUUAUGUCUUGGGCUUCACGCAUGCUACAAUGGCCAGUACAAAAGGCUGCAAUACCGUAAGGUGGAGCGAAUCCCAAAAAGCUGGUCCCAGUUCGGAUUGAGGUCUGCAACUCGACCUCAUGAAGUCGGAGUCGCUAGUAAUCGCAGAUCAGCAACGCUGCGGUGAAUACGUUCCCGGGCCUUGUACACACCGCCCGUCAAGUCAUGAAAGUCGGUAACACCCGAAGCCAGUGGCCUAACCGCAAAG
rnacentral:rRNA from 1 species